rnacentral:tRNA from 2 species
GGAGAGAUGGCCGAGAGGCUUAAGGCACCGGUUUGCUAAACCGUCGUAGUGGUAUAACUGCUACCGAGGGUUCGAAUCCCUCUCUCUCCG